GACGAACGCUGGCGGCGUGCCUAAUACAUGCAAGUCGAACGCAGUGGGGACGGGUGAGUCACACGUGGGUAACCUCCCCUCAGAGGGGAUAACACUUGGAAACAGGUGCUAAACCGCUACUGAUGGAUGAACCCGCGGUGCAUUAGCUAGUUGUGGAGGUAACGGCUCACCAAGGCCACGAUGAAUAGCCGACCUGAGAGGGUGAUAGGACACACUGGGACGGAGACACGGCCCAGACUCCUACGGGAGGCAGCAGUAGGGAAUCUUCGGCAAUGGACGAAAGUCUGACCGAGAAACGCCGCGUGAGUGAAGAAGGUGUUCGGAUCGUAAAACUCUGUUGUUAGAGAAGCGGUAUCUAACCAGAAAGCAACGGCUAACUACGUGCCAGCAGCCGCGGUAAUAC
rnacentral:rRNA from 1 species